rnacentral:misc_RNA from 1 species
ACAAACUUGGUCAUUUAGAGGAAGUAAAAGUCGUAACAAGGUUUCCGUAGGUGAACCUGCGGAAGGAUCAUUAUUGAAUUGAACAUGGCCAAGGCUGUUGCUGGCUCUGUGGAGCAUGUGCACGCCUGAUGCCAGUUUCUUUCAAAUUUGUUUUACCCAUCUGUGCACCCCUGUGUAGUGCUUGUCAAGUGAGAAAUGUGCAGGCAUGAUUUCAAGGUUGGCCUUGAAUGGGGCCCUCUUUAGUGUUGCCUUGCAUGUCCAUGUGCUUGGCGGGCAUCUACAUUGUAUUUCUUACAUACACUAAACUUGUUGAAUGUCUUGAUGAAAUAAAAACACUUUAUACAACUUUCAACAACGGAUCUCUUGGCUCUCGCAUCAAUGAAGAACGCAGC